CCCCGCCGGAAGACCAAGGUUUUCUGUUCUACGUUAAUCGGAGCAGAGUGAGUCGGCCCCUAAGGCGAGGCAGAAAUGCGUAGUCGAUGGGAAACAGGUUAAUAUUCCUGUACUCGUGCAUAUUGCGAUGGAGAGACGGAGAAGGCUAGGCCAGCACAGCGAUGGUUGUCUGUGUUUAAGGCGGUAGGUUU
rnacentral:rRNA from 1 species